AUUGACAAUCUAGUUUCGAGUGCUCAAGUUACUAGUUCCAGGAGGAAGUAGGGUGCGAAUCCCUCACUGGCGCGCAACGGUGAUGCAGCUUGCUGACAAGUCCGAUCUUCCCUCAUCCUCGCGUACAGGAGACUUGCCAGGGCUUGCCCGGGAAU
rnacentral:ncRNA from 1 species